AGGGCUGGUUCUCUCUCCUUUCUCACCCCUCUCUCCCAGCUGCUGUUUUCAGCUUUCUUCCCUUUUUCCAUUCUGCUUUCCCCAAGGCCCAACCAGCACUGCUCCUGUCUCGGUUCUGCCCAGCAGCAGCUCCUUUUGGAUCUGGCUCUCAUCUAACAUGGGGCAGCUGCUGGGCUCUGCUCACAGAGUCACCCCUACAGUUCCCCCGCUACCAAAACCUUGCUGCAUGAGCCCAAUAGAACAUGCUAACACCAUCACUGUACUGUGACAGGGUUUGGGGAACAGUACUGUAGGAAGACUGAAAUUUUGUUUCUCAAAGGAGGCAGAACCUGUUUGGAGGGCUUUCUUCUUAGGGUCCUGUCAGUGUUUCAUCUUCAUGGGAUACGUGAGGUUCUUGAUCCUUGUGUGAUGUCAUAGGAAAGGGUUUGGGGCCUGUACACUGAAACUGCAGUUCCCAGAAGCUGGAGUCACUUCUCAUUGCAAGUACACUACCGAGAAGCACAGGUGCACAAAGUGCCGGCUGGGCUGGGAGGAAAAGAUCGAGGCUGCAGCCCUGGGCUGGAUGAGGCUGAGCUGAACAACAACGCGGUGCAGAGGAGGCAGGGGAGCUCCCUGUGUCACCUGGACCUCUCCCUGGGUUGUGUGUGCUGGGUGCUGGUCCAGGCAGCUCUGUCCCACUGGUUUGUGCGACCCCAUCGAGCUGCUGCCGCAGCCACGCAUGCUGGUGAAGCCUGCAACAACGCAGGCUGCGUGCACCGAUCAGGGGGAGCAGCCUGGGGGUAUGUCCAGGUACCCCUGCUUGCUGCUGGCUCGCAGACAAGAGCUCAGUGCGAGUGCCGUGCCGAGGAGGAUGGGCUCUCCAGGAGCUAAGAGUGGGACCUGAACUGAGAGUGCUGCAGCUUCUCUGAAACAGCAGAGUGGAAAAUAAAUCUGACCUUGUUAGCAAUGCCAGAACCUUUAUAAAGUUUGAAAAGUACAGAAAGGAUUAAAUACCUCAGAACUGCUUA